rnacentral:rRNA from 1 species
AAACUGCGAAUGGCUCAUUAAAUCAGUUAUCGUUUAUUUGAUAGUACCUUACUACUUGGAUAACCGUGGUAAUUCUAGAGCUAAUACAUGCUAAAAACCCCGACUCCGGGAGGGGUGUAUUUAUUAGAUAAAAAGCCAAUGCCCUUUGGGGCUCUUUGGUGAUUCAUAGUAACUUAACGGAUCGCAUGGCCUUGCGCUGGCGACGGUUCAUUCAAAUUUCUGCCCUAUCAACUUUCGAUGGUAAGGUAUUGGCUUACCAUGGUUUCAACGGGUAACGGGGAAUUAGGGUUCGAUUCCGGAGAGGGAGCCUGAGAAACGGCUACCACAUCCAAGGAAGGCAGCAGGCGCGCAAAUUACCCAAUCCCGACACGGGGAGGUAGUGACAAUAAAUACUGAUACAGGGCUCUUUUGGGUCUUGUAAUCGGAAUGAGUACAAUUUAAACCCCUUAACGAGGAACAAUUGGAGGGCAAGUCUGGUGCCAGCAGCCGCGGUAAUUCCAGCUCCAAUAGCGUAUAUUAAAGUUGUUGCAGUUAAAAAGCUCGUAGUUGAACCUUGGGCCUGGCUGGCUGGUCCGCCUCACCGCGUGUACUGGUCCGGCCGGGCCUUUCCUUCUGGAGAGCCCCAUGCCCUUCACUGGGUGUGUGGGGGAACCAGGACUUUUACUGUGAAAAAAUUAGAGUGUUCAAAGCAGGCCUUUGCUCGAAUACGUUAGCAUGGAAUAAUAGAAUAGGACGUGCGGUCCUAUUUUGUUGGUUUCUAGGACCGCCGUAAUGAUUAAUAGGGAUAGUCGGGGGCAUCAGUAUUCAAUUGUCAGAGGUGAAAUUCUUGGAUUUAUUGAAGACUAACUACUGCGAAAGCAUUUGCCAAGGAUGUUUUCAUUAAUCAGUGAACGAAAGUUAGGGGAUCGAAGACGAUCAGAUACCGUCGUAGUCUUAACCGUAAACUAUGCCGACUAGGGAUCGGGCGAUGUUUCUAUUUUGACUCGCUCGGCACCUUACGAGAAAUCAAAG